UACGGGGGGGGCAAGCGUUGUUCGGAAUUACUGGGCGUAAAGGGCUCGUAGGUGGCCAACUAAGUCGGACGUGAAAUCCCUCGGCUUAACCGGGGAACUGCGUCUGAUACUGGAUGGCUUGAGUUCGGGAGAGGGAUGCGGAAUUCCGCGUGUAGCAGUGAAAUGCGUAGAUAUGCGGAGGAACACCGAUGGCGAAGGCAAUCCCCUGGGCCUGCACUGACGCUCAUGCACGAAAGCGUGGGGAGCAAACAGG
rnacentral:rRNA from 1 species